UACAGAGGUCUCGAGCGUUGUUCGGAUUCAUUGGGCGUAAAGGGUGCGUAGGUGGCGCUGUAAGUCGGGUGUGAAAUCCUGAGGCUUAACCUCGGAACUGCAUUCGAUACUGCGGCGCUUGAGGACUGGAGAGGAGACUGGAAUUCAUGGUGUAGCAGUGAAAUGCGUAGAGAUCAUGAGGAAGACCAGUGGCGAAGGCGGGUCUCUGGACAGUUACUGACACUGAGGCGCGAAGGCCAGGGGAGCAAACGGG
rnacentral:rRNA from 1 species